rnacentral:rRNA from 1 species
UACAGAGGGUGCGAGCGUUGUCCGGAAUCACUGGGCGUAAAGGGCGCGUAGGUGGUUGGGGAAGCGUGUGGUGAAAGCCCGGGGCUCAACCCCGGGUCGGCCAUGCGAACUGCCCGGCUGGAGCAUGGUAGAGGCCAAUGGAAUUCCGGGUGUAGCGGUGGAAUGCGUAGAGAUCCGGAAGAACACCGGUGGCGAAGGCGGUUGGCUGGGCCAUAGCUGACACUGAGGCGCGACAGCGUGGGGAGCAAACAGG